GUUAGAAAAAAAGAAAGAUAGAUUAGUUAGAAAGAAAGAUAGAUAGAUUUGUUAGAAUGAAAGAAAGAUAGAUUAGUUAGAAAGAAAGAUAGAUAGAUUAGUUAGAAAGAAAGAACGAUAGAUUAGUUAGAAAGAAAGAUGGAUAGAUUAGUUAGAAAGAAAGAUAGAUUAAUUAGUUAGAAAGAAAGAUAGAUAGAUUAGUUAGAAAGAAAGAACGAUAGAUUAGUUAGAAAGAAAGAUGGAUAGAUUAGUUAGAAAAAAAGAUAGA